GAGACACCCUUAUGGAGCAGGACUUGCUUCAUUGUUGCUUUGGUGCCCACUGAGUCUGCCCCUUGAGUGUGUCACU
rnacentral:pre_miRNA from 1 species